GGAUUCCUACGGGGGGCAGCAGUGAGGAAUAUUGGUCAAUGGGCGGAAGCCUGAACCAGCCAAGUCGCGUGAGGGAAUAAGGCCCUACGGGUCGUAAACCUCUUUUGCCGGGGAGCAAGGGCCGGGACGCGUCCCGGCCCGGAGAGUACCCGGAGAAAAAGCAUCGGCUAACUCCGUUCCAGCAGCCGCGGUAAUACGGAGGAUGCGAGCGUUAUCCGGAUUUAUUGGGUUUAAAGGGUGCGUAGGCGGGCUUUUAA
rnacentral:rRNA from 1 species